rnacentral:misc_RNA from 1 species
UUUCCGUAGGUGAACCUGCGGAAGGAUCAUUGUCUACACCGCGCCUGUAUCGCGGUCGGGGGGCCUCCCCCUCGUGGGAGGCCCUGUCUGAACCCUCUGUCAUUGUCGCACCUUGCGUUUCCUCGGCGGGCCCGCCCGCCAGCGAGGACCCCAACCCAAACCCAUUGCAGUGUCUUGCAGUAAACGUCCCACAAACAAAUUUAAAAUCAAAACUUUCAACAACGGAUCUCUUGGUUCUGGCAUCGAUGAAGAACGCAGC